ensembl:lncRNA novel transcript
CCAGCUCAGACAGAGGAGGGAGACAAGGUACCACGUUAACAACAGGACUGAAAUUUCGCCCAGAGUACAGAGAGCUCAGCAGAUUCCUGGCAUUUCUGAAAAACAAUCCCUUGGGGUUGAAUCAAAUUAAAUGCUUUAGGAAAAAAAGUUAUGAUAUUCAAGAGAAAUAAUGUGGCUUAACAACUGAAGUUCCACUUCUGAUGGACCUGAGAAGCCUUGCAAAUGACGUUUGAUUUUCACACUCUUUGAAGAGACAACAGAUUUCAUUGUGCAGGGGAGAAGCUGCCCAAGUGGACUUCUGGAGUUCUGACUACUUUGGGAGAUCCAUUGACUGAAAUGGAAGAAAAUAAUUCUAAAAUUUGUAUGGAACCACAAAGACUGCUAAUAGCCAAAGCUAGUUUGAACAAGAAGAACAAAUCUGGAGGCCUCACACUUUCUGAUUUCAAAAUAUAUUACAAAGCUACAGUAGUAGCAUAAAAACAGAUGCAUAAACCAAUGGGUAGAAUAGACAGCCCAGAAAUAAGCCCACUUACAUGUGGUCAGCUAAGUUUUAACAAGGGUGCUAAGAAUACAUAAUAGGCAAAUGAUAGUCUCUUCAAUCAAGUAUGGAGAAAAUUGGAUAUCUACAUGCAAAAUGAUGAAACUGGACCAUUUUCUUGCACCAAAAAAUCAACUAAAAUGGGCUAAAGGCUUAAUUGUAAGACCUGCAAUCAUAAAACUCCUAGAAAAAAGCAUAAGGGAAAAGCUUCUUGAUAUUGGCCUUGGCUAUAAUUUUAUGAAUGUGACACUAAAAGCACAGAGAACAAAGGCAAAAUAGAAGACAGGGACUACAGCAAACUAAAAAGCUUCUGCACAGCAAAGGAAACAGUCAAGAAAAUGAAAAAGCAUCUAAUGGAAUGGGAGACAAUAUCGGCAAACCAUACAACUGAUAAAGGGUUAGUAUUAAAAAUACAUAAAGAACGCCGACAGCUCAAUAGCAAAAACCAAAUCAAACCAAACCAAGCAAGCAACCAAUCAAACCAAAAGCCCCAAAUAACCCUUGGGCAAAGGAACUGAAUAGACACUUUUCCAAAGAAGAUAUAUAAGUGGCCAACAGGCGUAUGAAAGUGUUCCACAUCUCUCAUCAUCAGGAAAAUUCAAAUCAAGACCAUAAUGAGAUAUUGCCUCAUCCCUGUUAGAAUGGCUAUUACAAAAAAACCCGGAAGAUAGGUGUUGGCAAAGAUUUGGGGAAAAGGAAAUUCAUAUACACUGUCGGUGGGAAUUGGUGCAGCCACCAUGAAAAACAGUAUGGAGGUUCCUCAAAAAAUUAAAAGUAGAACUAUCAUAUAUAUGAUCUGGCAGUCCCUCUCCUGAGUAUGUAUUCAGAGGAAUUGAAACAAGGAUCUUGAAGAGAUAUCUGCCCUCCCACGGUAAUUGCAGCAUUACCUCAAUAGCCAAGACACAGAAGCAACCUAAAUGUCCAUGGAUGGAUGAAUGGAUGAAUAAAAUGUGGUCUGUAUGUACAAUAAAAUAUUAUUCAGUCUUAAAAAGGAUGAAAAUCCUGCUAUUUGUGCCAGUAUAAAUGAACCUAAACUGAAGGGCACUAUGCUAAGUGAAGCAAACCAGAUAGAAGGACAAAAGCCAUAGGAUCCCACUUAUAGGAGGAAUUGAAAAUAAUGCAAUUUGUAGAAGCUGAGAGUAGAAUGGUGGUUGCCAAGGGCUGGUUUGGGGUGGGGGUGGGAAGACGGGGAGAUAUUAGUCAAAGGGUGUAAAGUUUCAGUUAUGCAGGAUGAAUAUGCUCUAGAGAUCUACCAAACAGCAUAUUGCUUGUAGUAAAUACUGUGUUGUAUACUUCAUAAUUUGCUAAGUAGGUAGAUCAUAUGUUAAGUGUUCUCUCUGUCUGUCUGUUUCUCUCUCUCUCUCUCACACACACACACAUACACACACACGCACACAAACACACACAAUGACAAAAUGUGUGGAAGGAAACUUUUGGAAGUGAUGUGUAUGUUUCUGGCACAGAUUGUGGUGAUGGUUUAAGGGGUAUAUACUUACUUCUAUAGUCAUCAAUAUGUAUUCAUUACAUACAUAUACCUUUGUGUAUAUCAAUAAUACCUCAAUAAAGUGGCUUAAAAUUG